GUAGGUGGCAAGCGUUGUCCGGAAUUAUUGGGCGUAAAGCGCGCGCAGGCGGUUCUUUAAGUCUGAUGUGAAAGCCCACGGCUCAACCGUGGAGGGUCAUUGGAAACUGGAGAACUUGAGUACAGAAGAGGAAAGCGGAAUUCCACGUGUAGCGGUGAAAUGCGUAGAGAUGUGGAGGAACACCAGUGGCGAAGGCGGCUUUCUGGUCCGUAACUGACGCUGAGGCGCGAAAGCGUGGGGAGCAAACAGGGAUUAGAUACCCUGGUAGUCCACGCCGUAAACGAUGAGUGCUAAGUGUUGGGGGGGUUUCCCGCCCCUUAGUGCUGCAGCUAACGCAUUAAGCACUCCGCCUGGGGAGUACGGCCGCAAGGCUG
rnacentral:rRNA from 1 species